UACGUAGGGUGCGAGCGUUAAUCGGAAUUACUGGGCGUAAAGCGUGCGCAGGCGGUCUUGUAAGUCAGAGGUGAAAUCCCCGGGCUCAACCUGGGAACUGCCUUUGUGACUGCAAGGCUGGAGUGCGGCAGAGGGGGAUGGAAUUCCGCGUGUAGCGGUGAAAUGCGUAGAUAUGCGGAGGAACACCGAUGGCGAAGGCA
rnacentral:rRNA from 1 species